AAAGGAUCUGACACAGUUUUCUAAGUCUUUUCUUCACCACCCUGCCCGUCCCUCACACAGAGCAGAGAGCUACAGUAGUAUGGAAAAGCACUUUGCAACAAAACACACAUUGCUCCUCGGUAAUCACAGAGGUUAAUGUCUUAUUUACAAGCUGCAGCCCCCCCAGCGGCUGACACGUUGGGCUCAAAUGUCUUCCAAAUUCUGGACGGACAGAUCCAUCUUCUGCCGUCGUCUUGUCAGCGUCUUAGCCUUCCCGAAUUCCCAUAACCCCCCCCCCCUUCUCCUGGACCUUCAAAGAUUGCAGCUGGCCCGCUUCCGUCAUCGGUACAUUAACUCGUACAGCCCAAGCUGCUUCCCUGGAGCAGAUGCAGCCAGAAGAAAAACAAAAGCUCGCAGGCCGGGGGGGUUAAUCACACUCAUCUAGAGGUCGGUAGGGCUGUUGCCAGGUGUGUCACACUCAAAGUACACUUGGCUUCCUUUUGUUGCAUGCCCUUUGACCUCCCGCUUUUUCACACCCCAAGUGCAGUAUGUGUUUGUGAGCACGUAAAAGAAAACAACAGGAUCUAUUCAAGAUUCAGAGCCGGAUGGAUUCAGUGACAUCUGCAAGGCGUGCAGAAUGUACAGGAAGAGAAUUUAUCAGUGCUGGAAGUUCCCUUUUUGGUUAUUUACGAGGAAUUUUAUUGAUAGCAAGUAAUAAAGUCACAACACUUCAAAUAGUUUGCCUCUGGCUUUGAGUGAAGGUCAUUUAAAGGCUCCUGAAUCCUGCUGUGUGUCUCUGAGUCUCAAGAUGAGCAACAUGACAGCAACAUAAUAUCGAGUUGGACAAAGACAACUAGAAAAAAAAAUCUUGGAUUUCUUUCAGAUGUCUGUUUUUUUUCCCAACUUUGUCAAAAGCUGCCGUUGGUUUCGGGGGAAAAUGUUUUCUGUUACACCUCUCUGAUAUUUGAUUUUGCAAAGUUGUCCCAACUUGUGUCAAUUCUAUCUCCCGUAGAUUGUUACACAGUGCAGCAGGACGGCCCACGUGCAUAGAGAGAGAGAGAGAAAAAACAUGUUGUUCCUUCACUGAAUCAUGAUAUUUGUAUUGUAACUCAGAUGGCACUGCUUGUGACAGAUUGUGUUUCAGUAAGGCCAGAGUUGUGCAUCAAUAUGGCAGCCAGAUUUCCCAGUUUUGACGCUUCUUGCCAGGAUAUUGACUUUGUUUGCAUUUGUAACCAGCAGGGACAAGAGCUUGCUUUCUUUAAAAAAAAAAAAGGGAAUCAUAAACAAGUGGUGUUGGCAUCCUGAGCUCAUUAGAGGAUGAGCCUGAUACCUACUCGAGGAACAUCAAGGUUGUCAUUUGGCCUUGCAUUGUCACAAAACACAAUGUGGAAUUUUUCUCCGAGCCAAUGUUGCCGCAGUUAAAUUCUUGUUAAGUCUGUUAUGUGCUUCUUGUUUCCCUGGGUUCCCACUGAUGCAUUUGUGUGGUAGAAUGCCAAUUCCCUCUUUUGAAUGCGUCUCCUAAGACACAGCUGCCUGCUUAGAUAGCUAAUGGCUGUGAUUUGUGCUGCAGAGCUGUGAGCGGAGUGUGGCGUGAUGGCAUUUGUUCUGUCUGCCUGAGGCCCGGUCUGUCAUUGUGCAUCAGGCCGGGCCAGUGGCCGUGACUCACACAUGAACCCUCUGGGAGCUGCAGCUCACCGAGAAGACACAGGAGUUUCAUUUCCGGCACCGGGAAACACAUAUGUCGCAGGGUGAUGUUGGCCGUGUGUGUGUGGGGUGUGUGUGUGUGUUAGUGAACAGUCUUUUCUCGGCGUCGUGAUCUCUGCUAAAUCAUCCUCAGUUUGUUCUGCGUUUGCUGGACUUUUCCUCUGGAAGCAAACCGCCUGUCCGGCACGGUGGCAUCUGCUUCCUUGGAUUUUCUGUUGAUUCUGUUGAUCCGUUCAGGCACUGGCCUUGUUUUUUUUCUUCUCCUGCUUAGUCAUGCUGCUGCUCAUCUCAACCCCCUUCAGAUCCACUGUUUAUAUUCCACAAAUGACUGUUUUCUGCUUUUGAAAACUUUAACCUCAGAUCUGAAGGAAGUUUUAUUUUUUUUUCCCAGGAGAGAGGCCGCAUUAAGAACAGAACAUAUAAAAGGCUUUCAUGACCCGGGCUUGGGGUUUUCUUUGUAAUUCAUGAGCUAAUGAUAAAGAACAGCAAAACAAACAUUAACAUGAAUGAAAAGUCACAGAUAAUGACUCUAGACCCCUCAGUUGUUCCCUGUAUUGUCAUGUUCCUGAUUCCAUGCCCUCUGACCGCACUUCUGCUUCCUCUGAUGGCUCCAUCUCACAUGCUGACACAUUUUCAGAAUCAUAUCCAUCAACAGUUGUCAGGCAGAGCCCCCCCCCCCCCUCCACCCCCCACCCCUGCUUGCAGACAAAAACAGUGGCCGUUGUAAAACAUCAUCUAUCAUCCUGCGGCCUUUGUUCAGCAUCCUGUCUGGUACGGGGGGCGAGCAGCCAGAGAGAGAGGGUGGCAUUCUGUUUGACGUGCCAAUGCAGAUGCUAAAUGACAGUGACACAAAGAGGAGGCCCCACCACGCAGGUCCUGACAGGGCUGUUUUCCAUAGAGCGCAGGCUUGACUUGACUUAAAGGCCCAACCCAAAAUCAGAUUACAGCCGCGCUCUUGACACCUCUUUGGCUCCGUUUUCAUGUUUGUAAUUUCCCCUCAGUAGGAAACACUUUUUCUCUUGAGAUGAUUGGACUUCAGGAUGACAGAUUUGAAAUGUUCUUUGAACCUCUCGGAGGGGGGUUUCUUCGCCUUUGGCUUCCUUUGAAACAACUUUUUGUUGAUGUUUAAAAUCCACAAAAACUCCCUCUCAGUCAGGAUGGAUUGAACUUUUUGGUUUGUUUUGAGGUUGAACCAUUAACUUGACACGAUUGUAGCGUGUAACUUCAACCCUGCGUCCUCCUGAAGAGUCCCGGAGCCAGAAACCGCGCCAUUGUCUCUCCUCUUAUUGUGUUCACUCGCACUAAGAGCGGUGCCACACGCCUCGAGAGGAAAUGUAAUGAUAAUAUUCGUCUUGCAUUCCAGUUUAUCGUGUAUCAAUUUUCUCUGAUGCCUCGGAGCAGAACUGCUGCUCCGAUCCCUUUUGUCAUGUGCUGAAUAUAACGUGCAUGUCACACCUGCAGUCAUGUAUCAAUACAAGGUACUCCACUGUAGUUAGAUUACACACGUUGUGCCUUUUGCAAAGUUGUCUUACUUGUUAGGUGUGUGUGUGUGUUUACAGUUACAGUUUCAGCUGAGGCCUGUAAUCUUUCAGGAUUAGUCUCUUUUCAAAACCUUUGUUAUCUUUUUUUUUUUUAGGUGCCAUUCUCACUGAAGUUUGAAUGCGACACUGACUCACAUGUCCAGAAAAAAAAGUGUUGCAGGCUAUCCGAACAUGUUUGCAUGAUCAAAAGUGCUCUUGGGGAAGAUCCAUCGCAAUGUGUUGCAGAUGAUGUCCAGCCCCCAGAAAGACAAGAAUGAGCAUGAAUGGCCUCGUUUCAAAACUCUUUCUGUGCAAUCUUUGAAGUCUGGUCAGUGUCGGUGUGUGUUGGCUCCAUUAGUAGGAAGGAAAGCGUUGCCUUGAUUUGCCUCUUGUGUCAUAAAUGAAAUAUAAAUGUAGGGUAUAUUUAUAGAUCUGAGUCAGCUCUGUGAAGAUGUUUCUUCUUUGAACCCAACAGUGAUGACGAAACAGAUAAAAGCAGAGGAUGUGUGUGCGUGUGUGCGUGCGUGUGUGUGUGUGUGUGUGUGUGUGUGUGUGUGUGUGUGUGUGUGUGUGUGUGUGUGUGUGUGUGUGUGUGUGUGUGUGUGUGUGUGUGUGUGUGUGUGUGUGUGUGUGUGUGUGUGUGUGUGUGUGUGUGUGUGUGUGUGUGUGUGACACACUCACAG